rnacentral:lncRNA from 1 species
AGUUUCUGUUCUGGAAUGUCAAGCCAUUUCGAGUAGAUGUCGGCAUUUCCUAAAGAAAGCAGUUGCAGUAGGAGUAGCCCCUGGAGCGCUAACUCGAAAUUGAUCAAGAAUGAAUGUGUAAUGAUGGUGAUUCUACAUGGGGCUCAAUAAAUAAUUGAAUGUAGAAAGGGGAUCCUAAACUAAAAAGGAGUCAAUGACCCC